rnacentral:rRNA from 1 species
CCCUUAGACGUUCUGGGCCGCACGCGCGCUACACUGACGAAGGCAACGAGCUUUCCUUUACCGAAAGGUACGGGUAAUCUUUUGAAACUUCGUCGUGCUGGGGAUAGAUCCUUGCAAUUUUUGAUCUUAAACGAGGAAUGCCUAGUAAGCGCAAGUCAUCAACUUGCGUUGAUUACGUCCCUGCCCUUUGUACACACCGCCCGUCGCUACUACCGAUUGAAUGGUUUAGUGAGGCCUUCGGAUCCGCGACUCGUUUUGUGGAGAAGUUGGACAAACUCAGUCAUUUAGAGGAGGUAAAAGUCGUAACA